ACACGUAGGGGGCAAGCGUUGUCCGGAUUUAUUGGGCGUAAAGAGCUCGUAGGCUGUUGCGUAAGUCGGAUGUGAAAACUCAGGGCUCAACCCUGAGACGCCAUCCGAUACUGCGCUGACUGGAGUCCGGUAGGGGAGCAUGGAAUUCCUGGUGUAGCGGUGAAAUGCGCAGAUAUCAGGAGGAACACCAGUGGCGAAGGCGGUGCUCUGGGCCGGAACUGACGCUGAGAAGCGAAAGCAUGGGGAGCGAACAGGAUUAGAAACCCCAGUAGUCC
rnacentral:rRNA from 1 species